UUCAGUAGCAGUUGUAAUUUCCAUGGGCGAGUAAUUCUUUGUGUUAUAAGUCGUUUGUUAAGUGUCGCUUCAACAACAACAAAAAAGCCAAGAAAAUAACACAAAACAUUACCCCCACAUGGCCAAUAUUGUGGUUGGCCCAAAUGGCGAAUGGCAGGCACAUAAAUAAUGGAAACAAAUCGGCAAAAAGCAAAAAGUUAAAUGCUUCUAAUGACAGAAAAUGAAGCAAAUGACGAUAAAAUGCGCAAAACAAAAGAGACAAAUAAUAAUAUACCAAAAUGGCGGACCAGUUAGGCGGAGAAUGGGCCUGCCUGGUCAGUCCGCAAGCACGCUAACACGCUCGCUGUCUUUGUGUUUGUGUCUGUGUGUGUGUGUGUGUGUGUGUGUGUGUGUGUGUGUGUGAGGAAGAGAAAGAGAAUAGAACUCUCAAAGGAGCAGAGAAAGUGAAAGUGAAUUAACAACAACGAACUGCGGGCAAAUCGAGAAAACCAUGUGCGCGGCAUAAUUACGAAGCAAUUAGACGAUAUUAUUAUUGAGGUCACCCGGCAGCAGUGGGCUUGUGCGGGAGCUGCACGGAACAUAUGGCCACUGGCCGUAGUGUUGCCACUCAUCCGGCUAUUUGCUGCUCCGGCUAUGUGAGGCGUGCCAAAGGGAUGCGUUUGUCAUUAUCAUUCAUGGGACAACGACGACGGAGCAGCGCAAUGGCCACUGAAUGAAUACAAGAACAAAGCGUCGACUCAAGUAAACACAAUAACAGCUCGAAAGGAAAACAACGAAUCUUCUAUGCUCUUACAAACAAAUCAUUAGAUUUUUCUGUAAAGAUUUCUUUUAAUGGCAGAAUAAAUUAAAUUCAAUUGUU